rnacentral:lncRNA from 12 species
CAGAACAAUCAAUUUCCCUUAAGAGAGAGUGGGAGCAGGGCUGGAGUGGAUGGCACAGGACCUGGAUACUCGCAUUUUGUAACGCCGAACAGGACCGGGCAUUGGGGAUAAACCUGUGGAGAGUUUGAGAGCUGGAAUACAACCAACUUGGGGUUUUGACAUUUCACAAACGUGAGAGGAGAGCAGCUGUGAGAAAGCAGCAGACACACAGGCCAGUCCUGAUGGCAGGCGCUUGGGGGUCAGCCUGCACUGGACUCCGGCUCUAGCAGCCCACUGGGCCCUCACUUCAACUCUAAACAUUUCACAGGUCAGUGAGCAGAGAUAUACUCCAUGCACUCACACACUAUCUGAAAUUCAUUUUUUAACAAAAAAAAAAAAUUAGUAAUGUU